rnacentral:rRNA from 1 species
AUGAACGCUGGCGGCGUGCCUCAUACAUGCAAGUCGCGCGAACAGACGAGGAGCUUGCUCCUCUGAUGUUAGCGGCGGACGGGUGAGUAACACGUGGAUAACCUACCUAUAAGACUGGGAUAACUUCGGGAAACCGGAGCUAAUACCGGAUAACAUGUUGAACCGCAUGGUUCAACAGUGAAAGACGGUCUUGCUGUCACUUAUAGAUGGAUCCGCGCCGCAUUAGCUAGUUGGUAAGGUAACGGCUUACCAAGGCAACGAUGCGUAGCCGACCUGAGAGGGUGAUCGGCCACACUGGAACUGAGACACGGUCCAGACUCCUACGGGAGGCAGCAGUAGGGAAUCUUCCGCAAUGGGCGAAAGCCUGACGGAGCAACGCCGCGUGAGUGAAGAAGGUCUUCGGAUCGUAAAACUCUGUUAUUAGGGAAGAACAAAUGUGUAAGUAACUAUGCACGUCUUGACGGUACCUAAUCAGAAAGCCACGGCUAACUACGUG